UACGAGGGGGGCAAGCGUUGUUCGGAAUUAUUGGGCGUAAAGGGCGCGUAGGCGGUUUGACAAGUCUGAUGUGAAAUCUGUGGGCUCAACCCACAGCCUGCAUUAGAAACUGUCGGGCUUGAGUAUGGGGAGAGGUGAGUGGAAUUUCCGGUGUAGCGGUGAAAUGCGUAGAUAUCGGAAGGAACACCUGUGGCGAAAGCGGCUCACUGGACCAUAACUGACGCUGAGGCGCGAAAGCUAGGGGAGCAAACAGG
rnacentral:rRNA from 1 species